rnacentral:rRNA from 1 species
AGUGAACGCUGGCGGUAGGCCUAACACAUGCAAGUCGAACGGCAGCACAGUAAGAGCUUGCUCUUACGGGUGGCGAGUGGCGGACGGGUGAGGAAUACAUCGGAAUCUACUUUUUCGUGGGGGAUAACGUAGGGAAACUUACGCUAAUACCGCAUACGACCUACGGGUGAAAGCAGGGGAUCUUCGGACCUUGCGCGAUUGAAUGAGCCGAUGUCGGAUUAGCUAGUUGGCGGGGUAAAGGCCCACCAAGGCGACGAUCCGUAGCUGGUCUGAGAGGAUGAUCAGCCACACGGGAACUGAGACACGGUCCAGACUCCUACGGGAGGCAGCAGUGGGGAAUAUUGGACAAUGGGCGCAAGCCUGAUCCAGCCAUACCGCGUGGGUGAAGAAGGCCUUCGGGUUGUAAAGCCCUUUUGUUGGGAAAGAAAAGCAGCAGGUUAAUACCCCGCUGUUCUGACGGUACCCAAAGAAUAAGCACCGGCUAACUUC